ensembl:lncRNA
GAUGACUCAAGGUGAAUCUCUGUCUACCCUUCUCCAAGGCCCCGGCCCCCAACCAUGAGCAACAGAAGACCUUAACCAUGCUUCCCUUCCGGCAAGAAACUCAGGGCAAUCUGAGCUAGAGACAAAGACUUGGGGGACAACAGGAGUUGAAGCCAGUGGAGCGCACAUGCACCCAGGAAGGAGGUGCGCCCAGGAAGAAGUACACGCUGACAGGAGACAAAAGCGACAGAAUGAACCUGAGGAGCAGCAUGACUUGCGAGCUGGGAGUUGCAAGUACAGUCUGAAGAACUUGUUUUUCUGAUUUAUUUGAGAGGAAGUUGCCGACAUGGUACCGCAUCACCUU